rnacentral:rRNA from 1 species
GAGGAAUAUUGGUCAAUGGGCGGAAGCCUGAACCAGCCAAGUAGCGUGCAGGAAGACGGCCCUAUGGGUUGUAAACUGCUUUUGUAUGGGGAUAAAGUUAGGGACGUGUCCCUAUUUGCAGGUACCAUACGAAUAAGGACCGGCUAAUUCCGUGCCAGCAGCCGCGGUAAUACGGAAGGUCCAGGCGUUAUCCGGAUUUAUUGGGUUUAAAGGGAGCGUAGGCUGGAGAUUAAGUGUGUUGUGAAAUGUAGACGCUCAACGUCUGAAUUGCAGCGCAUACUGGUUUCCUUGAGUACGCACAACGUUGGCGGAAUUCGUCGUGUAGCGGUGAAAUGCUUAGAUAUGACGAAGAACUCCGAUUGCGAAGGCAGCUGACGGGAGCGCAACUGACGCUUAAGCUCGAAGGUGCGGGUAUCAAACAGGAUUAGAUACCCUGGUAGUCCGCACAGUAAACGAUGGAUGCCCGCUGUUGGUACCUGGUAUCAGCGGCUAAGCGAAAGCAUUAAGCAUCCCACCUGGGGAGUACGCCGGCAACGGUG